UAGUCUAAUAUUGGUUACAGGUUUUAAAUUCAACGACCUCGUUAUUACGGGGUUUUUUGUUAUCUGUAACUUAUAAAAUGCUGCUUAUGCAGUGUUGUAUCUGGGCUAUUUAGCCCUUUUUUG
rnacentral:sRNA from 1 species